rnacentral:tRNA from 1 species
GCGCCUUUCGUAUAAUUGGAAGUACAACCGGCUCCAACCCGGUUAGUCAGAGUUCGAGUCUUUGGGGGCGUG